AUUGAACGCUGGCGGCAGGCCUAACACAUGCAAGUCGAACGAGUGGCGGACGGGUGAGUAAUGUCUGGGAAACUGCCCGAUGGAGGGGGAUAACUACUGGAAACGGUAGCUAAUACCGCAUACCAUCGGAUGUGCCCAGAUGGGAUUAGCUAGUUGGUGGGGUAACGGCUCACCUAGGCGACGAUCCCUAGCUGGGCUGAGAGGAUGACCAGCGACACUGUAACUGAUACCCGGUCGACAUUCCUACGGGAGGCCGCAGUGGGUAAAAUUGCCAAAGGGGCGCAAGCCGGAGAAAGCCAUGCCGCGUGUAUGAAGAAGGCCUUCGGGUUGUAAAGUACUUUCAGCGAGGAGGAGUUACUCGCAGAAGAAGCACCGGCUAACUCCGUGCCAGCAGCCGCGGUAAUAC
rnacentral:rRNA from 1 species